rnacentral:rRNA from 1 species
UACAGAGGGGGCAAGCGUUAUUCGGAAUUAUUGGGCGUAAAGGGCGCGUAGGCGGCUUUGCAAGUGACGGGUGAAAGCCCUCGGCUUAACCGAGGAACUGCCUGUCAGACUGUAAGGCUUGAGACCGGGAGAGGUGAGUGGAAUUCCCAGUGUAGCGGUGAAAUGCGUAGAUAUUGGGAGGAACACCAGUGGCGAAGGCGGCUCACUGGACCGGAACUGACGCUGAGACGCGAAAGCGUGGGGAGCAAACAGG